UACGUAGGUGGCGAGCGUUGUUCGGAUUUAUUGGGCGUAAAGGGUCCGUAGGAGGUUUGUUAAAAUUGGGGUGAAAUCCCGGAGCUCAACUCCGGAACUGCCUUGAUGACUGACGAACUAGAGUGCUGGAGAGGUAAGCGGAAUACCAGGUGUAGCGGUGGAAUGCGUAGAUAUCUGGUAGAACACCGAAAGCGAAGGCAGCUUACUGGACAGCAACUGACUCUCAGGGACGAAAGCGUGGGGAGCAAACAGG
rnacentral:rRNA from 1 species